rnacentral:rRNA from 1 species
UACGUAGGGUCCAAGGCGUUAUCCGGAAUCACUGGGCGUAAAGCGUGCGUAGGCGGAUGUUUAAGUGCAAUGCGAAAUCCUGUGGCUCAACCAUAUGGACUGUAUUGCAUACUGGAUAUCUGGAGGAAUGCAGAGGCAAGUGGAAUUACCGGUGUAGCAGUAGAAAUGCGUAGAGAUCGGUAGGAACACCAAAUGGCGAAGGCAGCUUGCUGGGCAUUUUCGUGACUG